UGGGGAAUCUUGGACAAUGGGGGCAACCCUGAUCCAGCAAUGCCGCGUGUGUGAAGAAGGCCUGCGGGUUGUAAAGCACUUUUUGGCAGGGAUGAAAAGCACUGGAUUAAUAACCCAGUGUGUUGACCUAACCUGCAGAAGAAGCACCGGCUAACUCUGUGCCAGCAGCCGCGGUAAUACAGGGGGUGCGAGCGUUAAUCGGAAUUACUGGGCGUAAAGGGCGCGUAGGCGGUCGAGUAAGUCGGAUGUGAAAUCCCCGGGCUUAACCUGGGAAUUGCAUUCGAUACUGCUUGGCUAGAGUGUGGAAGAGGGAAGCGGAAUUUCCGGUGUAGCGGUGAAAUGCGUAGAUAUCGGAAGGAACACCAGUGGCGAAGGCGGCUUCCUGGUCCAACACUGACGCUGAGGCGCGAAAGCGUGGGGAGCAAACAGGAUUAGAUACCCCUGUAGUCCCUGAGCGGGCUGGCAAGGCGCAU
rnacentral:rRNA from 1 species